rnacentral:rRNA from 1 species
CACCAGAGCCACAAGUGGUAAUCAUAAUUAUUGGGCCUAAAGCGUUCGUAGCUGAUUCAAUAAAUCUUUUGUGAAAUUGUUAGACUUAAUUUAACAUUGUGCAAAAGAGACUGUUGGGUUUGAGACCAGGAAGAGGCAGAAGUAUUCUAGGGGGAGUGGUAAAAUAUUAUAAUCCUUAGAAGACUACCUAUGGCGAAGGCAUCUGUCUAGAAUGGGUCUGACAGUGAGGAACGAAGGCUAGGGGAGCAAUCCGGAUUAGAUACCCCAGUA